GCUCCCUUAAACCAAGCGGAUGCCCUUCUCGUUAAAUAUGCCGAGACAGCAGGCGCCUUUCCUCAGCUGAGACGCACACCUGCUGGACCCGACGCCGACGCAACACUGCCUGGCGUGAGACUACCUUUAAGAGACUGGAGCGAAAUGGCAUAACCAGUGAACCCAGCCAAGGAAACUCACCAGCGCAGAAAUAGGGCGGCGCCCCUCUGCUCCUCUAAGCGGGGGUCCCCAGGAGCGCUCCAGAAAGCCCGCGCGCCGCUCGGAGCCGCGGCUGUUCCUGACGGCUGCCGCGAGCGGCUGAGCCCGUGUCCUGCCAAAUAUGGGCACGCGAGAGUGCUGUGGUACUGGCCCAGCAAACUGGCUGUGAGCCAAAACAAAAGCCAGACAGAAGCUCAAGAAACUGUUACACCGACCUGCACUUCCUUUCCAAAGACAGUGUUGGAGAGAUA
rnacentral:lncRNA from 1 species